AUGUCUGAUUUGUCCACCCUCACUUUCCUGUGGAUGCUUAUUACCCAUGAAAACAUCAGCCAAAGGCUAAGUUCAACAGGACUAGAAAUGAGAAAUCAGAAGUCCCCUCUGCUGUGGUGGUGUGCUGUGGGGAAGAGAUGGAUUUGUAAGUCCCCGGGCGAGGUCCUGCCUCCCCAAGGCCACUACUUUGCGGAGGAGACUCUGGGUGAAGCUAUCAUCAUUACGUUUGACCAGGAGGCAAAACCUUCUACUGGGGACUUGAGGGAUAAGGAAAGAGCAUACAUUAAACUCAGAGUCACUGGACAUGGUGCAGUGAGAUUCACUUUGAAGUGAGGAUGGUGGACGACACAUCUCUGGCAACUCAGAGAAUCAUAUUGUCAAAGACUGGAUGUUCCAGUGAAUUCACUCAGGUUUCUCUUCGAAGGUCAGAGGAUUGCUGAUAAUCACAGUCCUAGGGAGCUGGGAAUGGAGGAAGAUGUGAUUGAAGUUUAUCAGGAACAAACAGGGGGUCAUUCAACAGUUUAGAUAUUAUUUUUAUCUUUUCUUCUAUCCCCCUUAAUCCUCUUUUAGUUUUAAAAAUAGUUCUUUUGUCAUGUGGCGUUCAAGAUGGAAUUGAACACUGGCACCUCACCUCCUUAAGACAUCUGGUGAUGUGAAUUCUGGUGUCCAUUAGUCAUUAUCAUUUGUUUCCCUGGUGCUGAGUUUUGGUGAUGAAACCUCAGUGCCCUUCCUGUUGCCCUCUCCUUUUUACGAAUUACGCGUGUACACUGAGGGGCCACCUUUUCCAGGACUGUGGGUCUUCAGGCUUAUGGUAAAUAAGACUCACCAAUGCAGUGUUCAUAAUGCCUUUCCGAUUGGCCCUGAAGUUCUGGCAACUUCAGGAAGUUACUUCCCUCCUGGACUUGUGGCUUUUGGUGGGAAAUGGAAGUUUCUCAGAGAACCGAGCUGUGGAAAAAUGGCCUUUCCUUCACUUAAAGCUGCUUUGAAAAUCUGAGGGUUUGGCCCCAAAGAAGAGGAAUAUCGGGCUGGAGUCAAGGUGGCAUAGAGACAGUGAGAAUAGGGACUAACUCCAAAGAUGGCUUCACUGAAGAUAAAUCAUUUUAAGAUUAAAGAAAAAUCUUGUCAGAAGAUCCCCAAAACUUGUGAUUUUCCUAGGUAGUUAAUAAAGUUAUUCAUGCAGAAGUGUCUACAACAGAGCACUGCUCUUUUUUAUUUUAUUUGUACUUUUUGGCCUAGGCAUCUGGGUUUUAAAUGGACAUUGUCUAUACCAACUUCAUUAAAAUAAACAAAAUAUUUGUAAAAGCAAGCAAAUGAAUAAAAUUGAUAUUCCAAAAUGGUAAACUUGUUUGGCAAUAACCAACUAGAAAACAUAAUGGGGAAAGAGAUCCCAUUUGCAACAUGUCAUAGAGAUGUCUAUAAAAUUUCUUAGCAAAAUCUUUUCAAAAAUAUAUAGGAUUUAUAGGGGAGAAAAAAAUGCAAAUUCUGACCUAUAUCUCAGGAAAAUUGAGAUUUAAAGCUUACAUAUCGACAAAGAGUGGGAGUGAUGUUGUUUCCAAUGGGGAGAAAAUUGGUUCUUAUUGGAAAAAAAAAUCUAAAGCAAUAUCCUGUAUGUGGUAUUAAAAAUUCACUGGGAAGGAGGCAAUUAGGAUAAAAAUGUCUUAAAAGGCUCCAAGGGGAACAAUAAUGAAAGAAAUCUUGAGAAACACCGAUUUAAGGAAAACUGUAAUAGAAAUGUAUGUUUUUUCUUAUAUGGAAAACUGGAAAUUGUAAAAAUAGCGACUCUUAAAAUUACAGUUUUAAUGGAAUUCCAAUAAAAAUAUGAAUGGGCUCGG